UACGGGGGGGGCAAGCGUUGUUCGGAAUUACUGGGCGUAAAGGGCUCGUAGGUGGCCAACUAAGUCAGACGUGAAAUCCCUCGGCUUAACCGGGGAACUGCAUCUGAUACUGGAUGGCUUGAGUUUGGGAGAGGGAUGCGGAAUUCCAGGUGUAGCGGUGAAAUGCGUAGAUAUCACUUGGAACGCCAAUGGUGAAGACAGCUCGCUGGGGGUGUCCUGACGCUGAGGCGCGAAAGCCAGGGGAGCGAACGGG
rnacentral:rRNA from 1 species